rnacentral:rRNA from 1 species
AGCGAACGUUAGCGGCGGGCUUAACACAUGCAAGUCGAACGCGAAAGGGAUUCGUCCCCAGUAGCGUGGCGUCCGGGUGAGUAACACGUAGGAAACCUUGCCUAGAGUGGGGGAUAACGUCCCGAAAGGGACGCUAAUACCGCAUAAGCCCACGUCGGCCUCGGCCGAUGCGGGAAAAGAUGGCCUCUGAAUUCAAGCUAUCGCUCAAGGAUGGUCCUGCGGCGCAUCAGCUAGUUGGUGGGGUAACGGGCCUACCAAGGCGAAGACGCGUAGCUGGUCUGAGAGGAUGAUCAGCCACACUGGCACUGAAACAACGGGCCAGACUCCUACGGGAGGCAGCAGUGGGGAAUA